rnacentral:rRNA from 1 species
CCCUUAGAUGUUCUGGGCCGCACGCGCGCUACACUGAUGCAUUCAACGAGUCUAAAACCUGCUCUGAUAGGGGUGGGUAAUCUUUUGAAUGUGCAUCGUGAUUGGGAUAGAUGAUUGCAAUUUUUCAUCUUCAACGAGGAAUGCCUAGUAAACGCAAGUCAUCAGCUUGCAUUGAUUACGUCCCUGCCCUUUGUACACACCGCCCGUCGCUCCUACCGAUUGAAUGAUCCGAUGAAUAUCAUGGAUUGAGGAUGCAAGUAGGUUAGCCUAUCUUCAUCUUCGAGAAGUGAAGUAAAUCCUAUCAUUUAGAGGAAGGAGAAGUCGUAACA